rnacentral:rRNA from 1 species
UGGGGAAUUUUGGACAAUGGGCGCAAGCCUGAUCCAGCCAUGCCGCGUGCGGGAAGAAGGCCUUCGGGUUGUAAACCGCUUUUGUCAGGGAAGAAAUCUUCUGAGUUAAUACCUCGGGAGGAUGACGGUACCUGAAGAAUAAGCACCGGCUAACUACGUGCCAGCAGCCGCGGUAAUACGUAGGGUGCAAGCGUUAAUCGGAAUACUGGGCGUAAAGCGUGCGCAGGCGGUUUUGUAAGACAGAGGUGAAAUCCCCGGGCUCAACCUGGGAACUGCCUUUGUGACUGCAAGGCUUGAGUGCGGCAGAGGGGGAUGGAAUUCCGCGUGUAGCAGUGAAAUGCGUAGAUAUGCGGAGGAACACCGAUGGCGAAGGCAAUCCCCUGGGCCUGCACUGACGCUCAUGCACGAAAGCGUGGGGAGCAAACAGGAUUAGAUACCCUGGUAGUCCACGCCCUAAACGAUGUCAACUGGUUGUUGGGAAGGUUCCUUCUCAGUAACGUAGCUAACGCGUGAAGUUGA